GUGCCAGCAGCCGCGGUAAUACGAAGGGAGCUAGCGUUGUUCGGAAUCACUGGGCGUAAAGCGCACGUAGGCGGACUUGUCAGUCAGGGGUGAAAUCCCGGGGCUCAACCUCGGAACUGCCUCUGAUACAGCAAGUCUUGAGUCCGGAAGAGGUGGGUGGAAUUCCUAGUGUAGAGGUGAAAUUCGUAGAUAUUAGGAAGAACACCGGUGGCGAAGGCGGCCCACUGGUCCGGUACUGACGCUGAGGUGCGAAAGCGUGGGGAGCAAACAGGAUUAGAAACCCCUGUAGUCC
rnacentral:rRNA from 1 species